CUGUGUGCUCAGCCGGGGAGCGAGCGGCAGCUCUCCACAGUGCUGACGAGGAUGAUGCGUCCCCGGCUUCCACCCUUGAUUAGGAACCAGAGAUGAAUGGUCGCGUUCCCCCACCCCGCCACCCUGGCAGCCAAUCGGCAGGGACUCUCCAUCUGCAGCAGCAGGCACCAGGGGCCGAGGAGACCAGAUGUCUGAUGCCUUAUUUGUCCAGAGAGAGCCAAGUUGUGUCUGGAUAAUGGAGCUUCUCGGAGUGCAGGGGACCUGCUCACUGCAGUAAGAGGAAGAUGUGAUCUCUCCUGCUGCCAGGCCAGAUGCUUGAAGCCACGCCUCUCUGUAACGGUGGACUUUUAUCCUCCUGGAACCAUAAAACCAGAGUAAACGCUUUCUUCUAUAAGCUGCUCUUGGCCAUAGCAUUUUAUCACAGCAAGAGAAAAGCAAUUCGCACACAACCACUCUGGAAUGGCUCAGCAUUCUUGGGAGGUUCAGUUGGGAAGGAUUCAGAACUGAGUGGAGUUUCUGCAACUUAGACAUCCAGGUUUAGACCCCUCUGUCUCUAUGUCAGUCAGCACUGGCACACUGGAGCAGAAACUCUGCGUUCUGCAGAAGGACGAGUGGCAAGCACUAGACCAAACCUGGCCAUGGAGCUGGGAAGUCCUUUAAGGCUCACUGCCUCUGCGCCUGGUGCUGGGUCUGAAGUCACUGCAGGCCAGCAGUGUGAAUCCCGGAGGAGCACUGAGACAAAAGACAAACUGGAGUCACAAAGACAGAUCGCCCCGUGGAGCAAAAAGCUGGCUCAUACCAGCUCUGGAGAGUUCAUUAUUAAAUUUCAGAGUCUUUUUGAUACAACUGUUAAACACAGCCAUCACUAAAAAUUUUAUUAAGCAAGCCUACAAGUAAAUAAAUUAUAUUAAAAAC